UACGUAGGGUGCAAGCGUUAAUCAGAAUUACUGGGCGUAAAGCGUGCGCAGGCGGUUUUGUAAGACAGGCGUGAAAUCCCCGGGCUCAACCUGGGAAUUGCGCUUGUGACUGCAAAGCUGGAGUGCGGCAGAGGGGGAUGGAAUUCCGCGUGUAGCAGUGAAAUGCGUAGAUAUGCGGAGGAACACCGAUGGCGAAGGCAAUCCCCUGGGCCUGCACUGACGCUCAUGCACGAAAGCGUGGGGAGCAAACAGG
rnacentral:rRNA from 1 species